rnacentral:rRNA from 1 species
AUUGAACGCUGGCGGCAGGCCUAACACAUGCAAGUCGAACGGUAACAGGAAGAAGCUUGCUUCUUUGCUGACGAGUGGCGGACGGGUGAGUAAUGUCUGGGAAACUGCCUGAUGGAGGGGGAUAACUACUGGAAACGGUAGCUAAUACCGCAUAACGUCGCAAGACCAAAGAGGGGGACCUUCGGGCCUCUUGCCAUCGGAUGUGCCCAGAUGGGAUUAGCUAGUAGGUGGGGUAACGGCUCACCUAGGCGACGAUCCCUAGCUGGUCUGAGAGGAUGACAAGCCACACUGGAACUGAGACACGGUCCAGACUCCUACGGGAGGCAGCAGUGGGGAAUAUUGCACAAUGGGCGCAAGCCUGAUGCAGCCAUGCCGCGUGUAUGAAGAAGGCCUUCGGGUUGUAAAGUACUUUCAGCGGGGAGGAAGGGAGUAAAGUUAAUACCUUUGCUCAUUGACGUUACCCGCAGAAGAAGCACCGGCUAACUCCGUG